rnacentral:rRNA from 1 species
GAUGAACGCUGGCGGCGUGCCUAAUACAUGCGAGUCGAGCGAACAGACGAGGAGCUUGCUCCUCUGACGUUAGCGGCGGACGGGUGAGUAACACGUGGAUAACCUACCUAUAAGACUGGGAUAAUUUCGGGAAACCGGAGCUAAUACCGGAUAAUAUAUUGAACCGCAUGGUUCAAUAGUGAAAGACGGUUUUGCUGUCACUUAUAGAUGGAUCCGCGCCGCAUUAGCUAGUUGGUAAGGUAACGGCUUACCAAGGCGACGAUGCGUAGCCGACCUGAGAGGGUGAUCGGCCACACUGGAACUGAGACACGGUCCAGACUCCUACGGGAGGCAGCAGUAGGGAAUCUUCCGCAAUGGGCGAAAGCCUGACGGAGCAACGCCGCGUGAGUGAUGAAGGUCUUCGGAUCGUAAAACUCUGUUAUUAGGGAAGAACAAAUGUGUAAGUAACUAUGCACGUCUUGACGGUACCUAAUCAGAAAGCCACGGCUAACUACGUG